AUUACAUAACAUUUUCUUGUACAUGAUUAAAUAGGACUUACAGUUUUCCCCCAUUGUUUACACACUAAAAUUGGAACUGGAAACGUAAUCACCGAAACCUGAAACUCAUGUACCAAAUCCCUAAACCAAGUCAGCAAAAUUGCAAGCACAAUUCCUGAUUUACACUCAGUUUUCAAUUCUAUAUCACACUUUUUGCAAAACACUACAUUAGGCACAACAUUUAAAAUUAAAAUAUUUUUUGUCCCUUUGGAAAGCAACGCCAAUCACAAUGCCAAACUCUAUACAUCAAUUGGCAACACCCACUCCUCACAGGUGUAAACACUAGUUGCUGAAUUGUUCUCUUAAAAAUCAGAGUUUUAGCACUAUAAAAGGCCAUAGAUGAGCUCUCCUGUUUUGAAGGAAAAUGGAAGUCAAUGGUGAAGCAAGAGCUAGAGGUGAAGGAGUGUGUAACGGCAUUCCUCUUCAGAGGAGGAGUAGCAAGGAUCAGACCAAUGUGCAGAGUGUCCCUCCCUCCCUCUCUAUCUCUCUGAAUAUGUCAAUCUUUUUCAUCUGUUACAUAACGUCACACAGGGGACGAGGGCACUUCAAUCAAUACUUCAAAUGCAGGGGCCCCAGAGGACUCGUCCCAAAUGUCACGUGAUACCAUGAGUGGGUGACAUUUGGAGAAAGAAGCGAAGACUGCACCAGCCUCCCAAAUGCCUGCUACAAUACUGCUACCGGCCACAGCCUGGAGGGCCUGGAGAAUGAGAGUGAGUGAGUGAGUGAGUGAGUGAGAGAGUGAGAGAGUGAGAGAGUGAGAGAGUGAGAGAGUGAGAGAGUGAGAGAGUGAGAGAGAGAGAGAGAGAGAGAGAGAGAGAGAGAGUGUAAAGUUUACUGUUCAUUUGUAUUGUUUAUUUCACUUUUGUUUAUUACCUACUUGCUUUGGCAAUGUUAACAUAUGUUUCCCAUGCCAAUAAAGUCCUUGAAUUGAAUUGAAAGAGAAACACAGACGGAGACAGAGACAUUAGUGUAGUGGAAAAUGACAGCGUGAAUUAGCAAUAGGAGGGAGAGAUGGGAAAAGGAGGGAUUGAUAAAAACACUCACUCGGGUACACUUGCUUUGUGUGAGUCAUGUGUCUCACCGAGAUAAAAGCAAAAAAGAAGAAAUAGAAAUGGAACAUUUUAGGGAGGAAGAAACGUCAAGGGAAAAUAACACCUACUCUGUUUACAUGGGAUUGAUUGACAGCAGGGUGACUCUUUGUAAAGGUAAAGUCAUUAUUAAAAAGCCAAUCAGAAGCUUGGUAGCGUCCACCAGGCCCCUCUCACAAAGUUGCCGCUGGUGACAGCUGUGAUGACGUUCCCACGGGAACUGAGCCUACAUGUGAUAUUAUAAAGUAUCCAUUAUCGCAUAAUCCCCAGCCUGCAAUGGCAAUAUCCCCACCGAGUGUAAACGGUUGAUGCGUCA
rnacentral:lncRNA from 13 species